GUGCUGGGCCCAUAACCCAGAGGUCGAUGG
rnacentral:piRNA from 6 species